rnacentral:rRNA from 1 species
GACGAACGCUGGCGGCGUGCUUAACACAUGCAAGUCGAACGAUGAAGCCGGAGCUUGCUCUGGUGAAUUAGUGGCGAACGGGUGAGUAACACGUGAGUAACCUGCCCUUGACUCUGGGAUAACUGCGGGAAACUGUAGCUAAUACCGGAUACGACCCUCGGAGGCAUCUCCUGGGGGUGGAAAGAAUUUCGGUCAAGGAUGGACUCGCGGCCUAUCAGCUAGUUGGUGAGGUAAAGGCUCACCAAGGCGACGACGGGUAGCCGGCCUGAGAGGGUGACCGGCCACACUGGGACUGAGACACGGCCCAGACUCCUACGGGAGGCAGCAGUGGGGAAUAUUGCACAAGGGGCGCAAGCCUGAUGCAGCAACGCCGCGUGAGGGAUGACAGCCUUCGGGUUGUAAACCUCUUUUAGCAGGGAAGAAGCGAAAGUGACGGUACCUGCAGAAAAAGCACCGGCUAACUACGUGCCAGCAGCCGCCGCCG